UACAGAGGGUGCGAGCGUUGUCCGGAAUCACUGGGCGUAAAGGGCGCGUAGGCGGCUUGAUAAGCGUGCGGUGAAAGCCCGGGGCUCAACCCCGGGUCGGCCGUGCGAACUGUCGAGCUGGAGCACUGUAGAGGCAGGUGGAAUUCCGGGUGUAGCGGUGGAAUGCGUAGAGAUCGGAAAGAACACCAGCGGCGAAAGCACUCUGCUGGGCCGACACUGACACUGAGAGACGAAAGCUAGGGGAGCGAAUGGG
rnacentral:rRNA from 1 species